ensembl:lncRNA
CCCCCAUUGAAAAAAAAAAACGCAAAUCGCCCCCCCAACAUAGCCCAGCCAACGGCGCUGCCCCCAACACAGCGCUAAAUACCCCCCAACAGGCAUGGACCGGCUCCUCAUUCAUUGGUGAGUAACAUUCCCUGUGCUCUAGGAAGUGUUUUUUUCCAACUUCAUGGACUGGACAGUAGCACGGCAGGGCCUCUGAGGAAUGAGGGAUCUUUUUCAUCUCAUCCAUUUCCUUCUUUGGCUAAUGCAAGGCUGCAGAUGAAGAUGACGGGAUUUCUGUAUCUGUGCACAUGCCCUGGAUCUGGCCAUUAGGCUGGUGUUUAGAUGAACUCCCACGGCUGGGUUGACGAAUCAACAGUGACAACUUGUGACGGUAGACCAAUAGUUUCAUUCGUCCGUCGUUGGAAAUUGGGAUCUCGGUUUGAUUUUUCAAGUUAUGCAUUAGGAAAGGUAGACACACAUGUCCUCCUUUAUAGUUUCAAUGAUGCCAUGCCAAUAUUGCAGUAAUGCCAUGCCAAUAUACAUAACAUAUUAUGUUACUUCGUAUUUGUAAUAUCAUAGAUAAUAACAAAAUAAUAUAGGACUAAUAUCAUAUAGCAUUAUGUAGGAGUAAUAUAACAAACAUGUCAUCAUACUUAAUAUUUCUAAUAUUAUUUAACUUAAAAUCAUAUACAGUGUUUUCCCUACCAUUGUAUCCCCCAGCGCGCCCCAACACCCACGCCCCCCUCCGAUACGUCCGCCUCCAUAGUUGGGAACAUAGGGGAAACACUGAUAUGACAUAAUAUAGUAGAAUCAAUAUAGGAGACAUGGCAUUACACCCAUAUUUCUAAUAUUAUUUAACUUAAAAUCAUAUACAGUGUUUUCCCUACCAUUGUAUCCCCCAGCGCGCCCCAACACCCACGCCCCCCUCCGAUACGUCCGCCCCCAUAGUUGGGAACAUAGGGGAAACACUGAUAUGACAUAAUAUAGUAGAACCAAUAUAGGAGACAUGGCAUUACACCUUUAUUUCUAAUAUUAUAUAACAUAAUUUCAUAUACAGUGUUUUCCCUACCAUUGUAUCCCCCAGCGCGCCCCAACACCCACGCCCCCCUCCGAUACGUCCGCCCCCAUAGUUGGGAACAUAGGGGAAACACUGAUAUAACAUAAUAUAGUAGAACUAAUAUAGGAGACAUGGCUUUAUACUUACUUAGAACUUAAUACCGUAGAACUAAUAUCAUAAAAUAGCAUCGUAUUCCUUAUUUCUAAUACAAUUUAACUUCAUAUCGUAGAACUAAAAUAAAAUAGCCUCGUAUUCCAUAUGUCUAAUAUAACUAACUUAAUACCGUAGAACUAAUAUCAUAAAAUAGCAUCGUAUUCCAUAUUUCUAAUAUAAUUUAACUUAAUAUCAUAGAAAUAAUAUCAUAAAAUAGCAUCGUAUUCCAUAUUUCUAAUACCAUUUAACAUAAUAUAGAACUAAUAUCGUAAAUAUAGCAUUAUAUUUCAAUAUAUGACGUAAUAUGUUAUUACAAUAUCAUAAAUAGAAUUUAACAGAUGCUAAUUUUACCGCUAGCCAUGCCUUUAAUACAAAGUAUAGAGGGGUCAUGUGUGUCUACCUUGCAUAAUGUAUAACUUGAGAAAUUGAACCGAGAACCCAGUUUCCAAUGCCGACCGAAUGAAACUGUUGGACUACCUUCACAAGUUGUUACUAUUGAUUUGUCAAACCGGCUGUGUGAGGUUAUCCGAACAUCGGACAGAUGGCCGGGUUCAGGGUAUGUGCGCAGAUACAGAAAUCCCCUCAUCUUCAUUUGCGGUCUUGCAUUCGCCAAAGAAAGAAAUGGAUGAGAUGUAAAAGAUUCCUCAUUCCUCAGCCGCUGUGCUACCUUCCAGUCCAUGAAGUUGGAAAAGAACACAGCACAGGGAAUAAAAAAUACCCAUUGAAUGAGGAGUGUGGUCCUCAAAUGGGGGGGCGGU